AACGGCGCCAAGCACUUCCGGAGCUGUGGGGACGACUCUUCUGGAGGAAGCAGCGCGGGCUUGACCGGCGUCGGCCCGCCGCCUCCGCUGCCGCUUCGCCCCAAUCCGGUCCCUCUGACCCGGCCUGACCCGGUCUGGCUUGUUCGGGCUCAGCGGCCGCGAGGCCGCAGCUCCCGAUGGAAAUCAUAUUAUGUAGAAUACUUGGGUGACAUCUGCCUGAGAGAUCUCCAAGAAUUACAGAUACAAGUCCAAUUCUGCUCAACUGCUUGUUGAGGCUCGAGUUCAGCCUAAUCCAUCAAAACAUGUUCCCACAUCCCAUCCCCCUCACCACUGUGCAGUGUGUAUGCAGUUUGUGCGAAAGGAAAACCUACUCUCUCUGGCCUGUCAGCACCAGUUUUGCCGUAGCUGCUGGGAGCAGCACUGCUCAGUUCUCGUCAAGGACGGCGUGGGCGUGGGAGUCUCUUGUAUGGCUCAGGACUGUCCACUCCGUACACCAGAGGACUUUGUGUUUCCAUUGCUUCCCAAUGAAGAAUUGAGAGAGAAAUACAGGCGCUACCUCUUCAGGGACUAUGUGGAGAGUCAUUACCAGCUCCAGCUGUGCCCUGGUGCAGACUGCCCCAUGGUUAUUCGGGUACAGGAGCCUAGAGCU
rnacentral:sRNA from 1 species